UUUGACGUUAGCAGCAGAAGAAGCACCGGCUAACUCCGUGCCAGCAGCCGCGGUAAUACGGAGGGUGCGAGCGUUAAUCGGAAUUACUGGGCGUAAAGCGCAUGCAGGCGGUCUGUUAAGCAAGAUGUGAAAGCCCCGGGCUCAACCUGGGAAAGUCAUUUUGAACUGGCAGGCUAGAGUCUUGUAGAGGGGGGUAGAAUUUCAGGUGUAGCGGUGAAAUGCGUAGAGAUCUGAAGGAAUACCGGUGGCGAAGGCGGCCCCCUGGACAAAGACUGACGCUCAGAUGCGAAAGCGUGGGGAGCAAACAGGAUUAGAUACCCUGGUAGUCCACGCCGUAAACGAUGUCUACUUGGAGGCUGUGACCCAGAGUCGUGGCUUUCGGAGCUAACGCGUUAAGUAGACCGCCUGGGGAGUACGGUCGCAAGAUUAAAACUCAAAUGAAUUGACGGGGGCCCGCACAAGCGGUGGAGCAUGUGGUUUAAUUCGAUGCAACGCGAAGAACCUUACCUACUCUUGACAUCCAGAGAAGCUUGAAGAGAUUCGAGUGUGCCUUCGGGAGCUCUGAGACAGGUGCUGCAUGGCUGUCGUCAGCUCGUGUUGUGAAAUGUUGGGUUAAGUCCCGCAACGAGCGCAACCCUUAUCCUUGUUUGCCAGCACGUCAUGGUGGGAACUCCAGGGAGACUGCCGGUGAUAAACCGGAGGAAGGUGGGGACGACGUCAAGUCAUCAUGGCCCUUACGAGUAGGGCUACACACGUGCUACAAUGGCAUAUACAGAGGGCAGCAAGACCGCGAGGUGGAGCGAAUCCCAGAAAGUAUGUCGUAGUCCGGAUUGGAGUCUGCAACUCGACUCCAUGAAGUCGGAAUCGCUAGUAAUCGUGGAUCAGAAUGCCACGGUGAAUACGUUCCCGGGCCUUGUACACACCGCCCGUCACACCAUGGGAGUGGGCUGCACCAGAAGUAGAUAGCUUAACCUUCGGGAGGGCGUUUACCACGGUGUGGUUCAUGACUGGGGUGAAGUCGUAACAAGGUAGCCCUAGGGGAACCUGGGGCUGGAUCACCUCCUUAACGA
rnacentral:rRNA from 1 species